GGGGAUAAUAUAACAAUGCUGCCAAGUUUUGGAAGCUUUAAUCAUGGUUACCAAAAUAACCAGACUCGUAACUUGAUUGUGUUGAGCAAUUUAGAAAUUAGGCAUUUCCUCUCUGUUUCCAAAUUAACAGACAAUUUUCAUCCUUUAUUGUGGAACUGGUAUACUGUAGAUAAUCGUCAUAAUUUGACAAUUGCUGGGUUUAAUGCCAAAAAGAUUCCAAUUAUAUCGAAUAAAAUUAUAGCAUGAAAUAUGGGAAAAUGAGAUGAUGGUAAA
rnacentral:lncRNA from 1 species